rnacentral:tRNA from 1 species
GGGGUGUAGCUCAGUUGGUAGAGCGUCUGAAUCGCAAUCAGAAGGUCGACGGUUCGACUCCGUUCAUCUCC